AGUAAGUUCCUAACACGUUCUGCCUCUUUUUUCCGAAAUGCUUUUGUCUGAUUCUCGCCGGAAUAUCUUUCUUUGAGUUUGUUUCCAUCUUAUGCCUCUUUCUCUCCCUUGUUGCAGCACAUGAACAAUUUCCAUUGAAAGAUAUCAGAUUCUCCUUCUUUCUUUUUUAUCUGCUACUACUCAAAAUUAAACUUGCCGUAUAGCCUUCCUUUUGGUUUGAGCAGGAGGUAAUGUGUUGUCAACCUGAUUCCGGAGUUCAUGGAAGUCGCCGAAUAUCAACACUGAUUUAUUUACUAGAGGAAUUGAUAUUCAAGCAGUUAACAUUGUUAUCAAUUCUGAUUUUCCUAAGAACUCAGAAACGUAUUUGCACAGGGGUAAUGGAGGUGAUCAAAUUUGAAGUGGAUGAUGAAGAGUUUUUG